rnacentral:rRNA from 1 species
AUCGGUGAUGGAUGGGGAUGCGUCUGAUUAGCUUGUUGGCGGGGUAACGGCCCACCAAGGCGACGAUCAGUAGGGGUUCUGAGAGGAAGGUCCCCCACAUUGGAACUGAGACACGGUCCAAACUCCUACGGGAGGCAGCAGUGAGGAAUAUUGGUCAAUGGACGAGAGUCUGAACCAGCCAAGUAGCGUGCAGGAUGACGGCCCUAUGGGUUGUAAACUGCUUUUAUAAGGGAAUAAAGUGAGUCUCGUGAGUCUUUUUGCAUGUACCUUAUGAAUAAGGACCGGCUAAUUCCGUGCCAGCAGCCGCGGUAAUACGGAAGGUCCGGGCGUUAUCCGGAUUUAUUGGGUUUAAAGGGAGCGUAGGCCGGAGAUUAAGCGUGUUGUGAAAUGUAGACGCUCAACGUCUGCACUGCAGCGCGAACUGGUUUCCUUGAGUACGCACAAAGUGGGCGGAAUUCGUGGUGUAGCGGUGAAAUGCUUAGAUAUCACGAAGAACUCCGAUUGCGAAGGCAGCUCACUGGAGCGCAACUGACGCUGAAGCUCGAAAGUGCGGG